rfam:Medicago truncatula strain A17 chromosome 7, whole genome shotgun sequence.
AUAUAAGCAAAAAUUCACUUUUUAGAUACAUUCAAUUAAUGAUGUAUAUGGUCUUUAUUAUAUGUCACAUGCAUCAUUAAUUGAAUGUAUCUAAAUUGUGAAUUUUUGCUUAUAU